rnacentral:misc_RNA from 1 species
GAUGAAGAACGUAGCGAAAUGCGAUAAGUAAUGUGAAUUGCAGAAUUCAGUGAAUCAUCGAAUCUUUGAACGCAUCUUGCGCUCCUUGGUAUUCCUUGGAGCAUGCCUGUUUGAGUAUCAUGAGCAAAUCUCAAAGUCAAUUCCUUUUGUUAAUUCAAUUGGUUUUGAUUUGGACUUGGAGGUCUUGCAGAUUUUCACAGUCUGCUCCUCUUAAAUGCAUUAGCUGGAUCUCAGUAAUUAUGCUUGGUUCCACUCGGCGUGAUAAGUAUCACUCGCUGAGGACACUGUUAAAAAGGUGGCCAGGAAAAUACUGAUUGAACCGCUUCUAACGGUCUAUUAAGUUAGGCAAUUACCCUUAAGUUUGAUCUCAAAUCAGGUAGGACUACCCGCUGAACUUAAGCAUAUCAAUAAGCGGAGGA